AUUGAACGCUGGCGGCAUGCCUUACACAUGCAAGUCGAACGGCAGCACGGGAGCAAUCCUGGUGGCGAGUGGCGAACGGGUGAGUAAUAUAUCGGAACGUGCCCAGUCGUGGGGGAUAACGUAGCGAAAGCUACGCUAAUACCGCAUACGAUCUAUGGAUGAAAGCGGGGGAUCGCAAGACCUCGCGCGAUUGGAGCGGCCGAUAUCAGAUUAGGUAGUUGGUGAGGUAAAGGCUCGCCAAGCCGACGAUCUGUAGCUGGUCUGAGAGGACGACCAGCCACACUGGGACUGAG
rnacentral:rRNA from 1 species